GGGCGAGCGGAGGUGGCACAGCCCGCUGCGUCUCCGACCUGCGCACAACGCGGGACGAAGCCGAGCGCGCGCGGGCCCCCGGGGAGGCCGCAGCAGGGGUUUGUUUCCCCACCAGUAAAAUGAGGUAAUGACGUGAAACUGAUCACAUGAUUGAAGAGUUGAAAUGAGAGAAUGUGCAUCAGUAUCCAGCUCAGGUCCUAGCCUAUGUAUUUCCUCUUUCUCACCUCUGUAAAGAACUUAUACAAAAAAGGAAAAGAAGUGAAGGAUGAGUAGAAGGUGUAACAUUGGUAAAUGGGACUCCCUGAGAGGCAACAAGCCUGAUAGUAUCACAGGUACCUGGCUCCGGGGCAAGACUGCCAGGGGACUUGUGAAAUAGAGUCUUCAUAAGCUCCUAUCUGACCAGGAGAAGCACAUGCCAUGCACUUCCCAUGUGUCACUGGAUGACUGUGUAAUGCUGCCAACUUUGGUUUCUAGAAAACAUAGUUGAUGUUAGCUAUAUCCAAGUGGAAGGAGAGAUGGUGGAAAAGUAGAACGACCCAGAGACGUGGUACUGCUCCUCUAACUUGGAACCGGAGAGGAGGCAAGAUGCUGGCAUAGCUGUUGAACUGAGAACCUGCUAUGCCAACAUAUUGCCAUCUUUCCCGUCUAACUGCAGCUUGGCCGCCUCCGUGACGUUCCAACAUAUCUUGCUACAACCAAUACAUGACAUGUAGGGGUUUUGUCACUUGGUCUGGCUUAUCCCAACUUCUCUCCAAUCAUGUACUGAAUCACUCACUUUUCUAGCCACACUGGCUUUUGGGGCUGUUAUUGGACAUAUCAGGGAUGUUCCUGCCUCUUCAUUCAUCUGCCUCUGCCUCAUCAUUUGAGUCUCAGUGAAGACAUCACGUUCUUGGGGAACUCUUUCAUAGGGGCCUUGCCUAUAAAAGCUUCCAUGUGCCCAGCCACUGCUUAUCUCAUGAUCCUGCUUUGUCUUUUCAAAAACAUUGGUCACUACCUGAACAUGUUUGCUUGCUUAGUUGCUACCUUAUUUCCUGUACCAGAUUGUGAGUCUUUGAAGGAAUACCGAUCUUGACUUAUUUAUUCACUGUAUACCUAGACCCUGACACUUGUAAGUCCUCAAUUCAUGUUUUUGAAACUCUACCCUGAACUUAUUGUGCAAUAGAGGUGUCAAAUAAUUAGAUUUUAUUGUGUCAUGAAUGGUUCUGAUGAAACACUGGUUUAUAAGUAACAAAAAACUAAAUAAGUAGUAUUGAUUUCUGGGCCCACAAACCCAUCUUAAAGGAGCCACAAUAUGUUAUCUUCGAGGAUACCAACUCAGAAGACAACAUAUUGUAUUGAAAAGACAUCAUAUUUGAAAUAAAAGUUAUUCUCCAGUCUCACCAUGGCUGUCACGUCUGUAUUCUUAGUUAAACUAUAAUUUUUUCUGUUGCAAGAUAAUACUGACUCCACAGGAUCCUUGAGGUAACGUUAGUGAGAUUAGUCUUAAUCAUGUGGAAAAGUUCUUAUCUAGAAAAUUUAUGAUGUGUUCAUACUGGUAAAAAUGUCAUGAGUUUUAAUUAUUUUAUUACCCAUAAGUCCUUACCUUGAAGCAAGUGAUCUUAAGUGGAAAUUCCAGACCUAUAGCGCAUGUAAAAUUCUCCAUCAAGACACAGAAAAGCUGAGACCAAACAGUUAAUUAUCUCAGAUCUCAAAUGUUUCUUCUGGUUCCUUCAUACUGGUCACUGUCCUUUAUUUCUGGAGUUAUUCAUUGUCUAUCAGACUGUAGCUUUUACUUAUCCACUGUCUCAUUAGCGUAAGAAUACUUGACUAUUUGAUAUUCAUAUUUUAAAGCAUUGAAGUUUUAGUAGGAAGUUUUGCUUUUAAUGCACUAAAUGUUAUAUUAACUUGAUGCUUUUCCAAGGGGGAAAGUAACAAUCACUCUUGGCUGGGUGUUGUAACUACUGCAUCCAGAAAACACUCAUUAUGUCUUGCUCAUGCCUUUGAGAGUCUACUGAACAAAGCCCUUAAUUUAACAGGUGGGCAGCACAAAGGUGUGGCAAUUUGGACUACUGUUUUUUCUAUACAUAAAUGUUCUGUUUAUACAAGGGUAAUUAUCAUUUACAAUGCAAUAUGAUAAUUAAGUGACUUCAAAAAUGUUAGGUACUUUUUUGAUCUUAGGUAUCUACAGAUUUGAUUCUCUUGGUACUUUGUGAAUUUAUCAGCUUGUUUUGUUCUUUCACUUCUAGAAGUUAUUAGCCAGAAAUAAAGAACAAUAGACACUAACCCUGGGAGGUCCUUAUAAAUGCAGCACUUUCCAUGAAGACUUUGAGAAACCCAAUUAACAGCUGGAACCUGGUAGCCAUGUUGCUUUGUUCAUUCAUUAUUUUGAUGGUGAAAAAAAUGUCAAGGAAUCAAUAGGCCAGAACUUACAGCUUAUUGUAAAAACUGAGACUUUGAAGAUUUAUUUCCGCCUAUCCUUAGUUUUUAGAAGUUGCUGGAGCUUGGGUAACUUUUCCUUUUUCCAGAGUUCUGACUGCAUUCAAUGAUAGAGAUAUCCAUUGCCCCCUUGACCUCAGCGCAGCUGAUAAGCUGGGUUCCGAGUGUGGAAAUGAGCUUGAAGCGUAGAUAAGCCCUCCUCCUCUGAAAGGGCUUGAUUGUAAUUUAUAAACACCUGCCCUCUCCUUUUUACGUCAAGUGAACAGUCAUGGAGGGGGCUGAGCACAAAGAAACAUCAAGGGGAGAUGCUAACAAGUCAGGAUUCUGAUGUUACCGGCAACCUUUACGUGUUCUGAAUUUUUGAAUGAUGCUGUAUUUUCAGUCUGUUUUAAAAUGUAGAUUCCCAAACAAUGCCUUAAGCAUCUUCAUUUUUGAUGAGCACCCUGUUGAUCUGGAUUCUGUUUGAGAAGGUGCCAUACUUUGAAAACAUUCAACCCAAGUCCUAAGUCAGAGGGCAAGUAUUUAAAACCUCGUACACAGUUUUCAGUAUGGAAGUUGGCCACAGCCAUGAAAAAGAGUCUGCUUUCCCACUGUGUCUAUGCUUAGGGAAACUGGAACAAUGUUUUGUGAUCAUGUUCUGUCCUCCGAGGUCACUUACAUAAACAGCCCAUAUAACUGCACUCAGGAGCACUGCACCCUGGCCUGCCACUGCGGGUUGUUUUUUAACUUCUAUCAUCUUUUCUCCAGGGGUUCACAUUACAACUUCCAAGCUGCUUUAUUUUCUUUACUGAUUGACAUAAUGUUGACCCAAAUCUUUCACCUCUAAAUAGUCACUCUUCUGUAGGAUUUCUGUCAAAAUGUAAAUGAUACACAAGUUCCUGCGGGCUAACGAUGAGGUCUACUUGUGCAGAAGGGGAAUUUCCAAGAUUUAUAGGACUCUUAAGAGUUGUAAAUCUUUCUGUAACCCAAAGGGUCAUGUCUUAAUUGAUCCAUUUCUUAAGUUUAUGUUUUGGUAGAUAUUUUUAUAAAUUAGGACAUCUUUUCAUUUGGAGACAGUGUUGUGUAAUAAAAAAGCUUCAGAUGAAAAGGCAAAAAGAUUUGGGCAGGCCCCCAAGACCUGUCAUUUUCCUGUACUAGUCAUGAUUCGGGGCAGAUCAUUUAAUUGACUCUUAAUUGUAAAACAGAUAAUGGUAGGAAAUAUUAUGUGAAUUAUUAGAAAGAAAGGGGAUAAAAGAAAAAUAACAGCAGUAAAAACUAUAUAUUCAAGAUGGAAAAUAAUCUAUAAAAAGAGACUAGCUGUGGAUUUUAGUAGGAAUUAACUUUAUUUAAAAUUUUUCAAAGCCAUCAAAAAGACUCAGCACAUAAGGGCCCUUUCUGCCAAGCUUGACAACCUGUGUUUGAUCUCCAGGACUCUCGAGGUGGAAGGAGAGAACCAAUUCCCCCUGGUUGUCCUCUGACCUCCACAUUCCCACUGAUGUAUAUACACAAAUAAAUGUCAUUAGAUUUUUUUUUCAAUGUCUUAUUGCUUUGUACUAUUGUCCAAUUCAGUAAGAAAAAAUAUAGUAUUCUGAGUCAAAGGCAAAUAACUUUUGUUCUCAUCCAAUAUGAAGUACUUCUUUUCUACUUAACUUUGUCCCAAGGAAAACUCCUAACACUUAUAUGCUGUUGAAAACCAUGGAACUAGGGAAUAAGAUGUAGCUCAGUAGUAGAGUGCCAGGGGUUCAGUCCCCACCCCCUGCUCUGCAAACAAAUAAAAACAAGCAACAAACAAAAAAAUUUUGAAGUGGGGUGUGGUCACACAUGCCUAUAAGGCCAGUACUCAUGAGGGAGAGGCAGGAGGAUCAUUAUUUGAGAGGUCAGUAUGGACUACAUAAAGAGGUCAAAGGUAGACAGGGAGUGUAGCUCAGUGACAGAGCACUUCCCUAAUGUUCAAGGCUAUGGGUCCAGUCCCUGGCUAUAUGACAAAUAAAUAGAAAUCAAGAGUACCUUGAUUAAUGACUCAUCGCCCACACUUAACUGAUUGGCGUUGCAAAGUGUCAAAUGCUGUAACUAGAAACAAGAUUAAAUUGUUUAUAAUUUUAUAUCCUUUAUAAACUCCUCCAACUCUGUUCUACACUCCUACAAAACUUUGCUUUGGAAAUAGUUGACAUUUUAACAAAAUGACUCUACUUUAAUCCUGCCUACAGGAGAUCCUAAUUGCUUCCUUUCGGUGUGUAACAGGAAGGUCAGAUAUAUUUGUAUAGGAA